rnacentral:tRNA from 2 species
GCCCCCGUAGCUCAGGGGAUAGAGCGUCGGUUUCCUAAACCGUGCGUCGCAGGUUCGAAUCCUGCCGGGGGCGCCA